rnacentral:rRNA from 1 species
AGAGUUUGAUCAUGGCUCAGGGUGAACGCUGGCGGCGUGCUUGACACAUGCAAGUCGAACGGUAUGUGGCAACACAUAGAGUGGCGAACGGGUGAGUAACACGUGGGAACGUAUCUUUUGCAGGGGGAUAACUGACCGAAAGGACAGCUAAUACCGCAUAAGUCCGGGAGGAGAAAGGUGCAACAGCAUCGGCAGAAGAGCGGCCCGCGGUCCAUCAGCUAGUUGGUGAGGUAAGGGCUUACCAAGGCGACGACGGAUAGCCGGCGUGAGAGCGUGGCCGGCCACAAGGACACUGAGAUACGGGUCCUACUCCUACGGGAGGCAGCAGUGCGGAAUUUUAGAUAAUGGAGGGAACUCUGAUCUAGCGACGCCGCGUGCAGGAAGAAGGUCUUCGGAUUGUAAACUGCUGUGGUAAGGGAAAAAUGCUAUGUAGAGUGGAAAGCUACAUAGAGGGAUGGUACCUUACUAGAAAGCCCCGGCUAACUACGUGCCAGCAGCCGCGGUAAUACGUAGGGGGCGAGCGUUACCCGGAAUCACUGGGCGUAAAGGGAGCGUAGGUGGCCUAACAUGUCAACUGUGAAAACCCGGAGCUCAACUCCGGACUUGCAGUUGAAACUGGUAGGCUUGAGGACGGUAGAGGAAGACGGAACUGCCAGUGUAGGGGUAAAAUCCUUAGAUAUUGGCAGGAACGCCGGUGACGAAGGUGGUUUUCUGGGCCGGUUCCGACACUGAUGCUCGAAAGCCAGGGGAGCGAACGGGAUUAGAUACCCCGGUAGUCCUGGCCCUAAACGAUGUUCACUAGGUGUGGGGAGCGGAAAGCUCUCCGUGCUAAAGCUAACGCGAUAAGUGAACCGCCUGGGGAGUACGCCCGCAAGGGUGAAACUCAAAUGAAUUGACGG